rnacentral:rRNA from 1 species
AAUAAUACCCGGUAGUCCACGCCGUAAACGAUGAGUGCUAAGUGUUAGAGGGUUUCCGCCCUUUAGUGCUGCAGCUAACGCAUUAAGCACUCCGCCUGGGGAGUACGGUCGCAAGACUGAAACUCAAAGGAAUUGACGGGGGCCCGCACAAGCGGUGGAGCAUGUGGUUUAAUUCGAAGCAACGCGAAGAACCUUACCAGGUCUUGACAUCCCACUGACCGGUAUAGAGAUAUACCUUUCCCUUCGGGGACAUUGGUGACAGGUGGUGCAUGGUUGUCGUCAGCUCGUGUCGUGAGAUGUUGGGUUAAGUCCCGCAACGAGCGCAACCCUUGAUCUUAGUUGCCAGCAUUUAGUUGGGCACUCUAAGGUGACUGCCGGUGACAAACCGGAGGAAGGUGGGGAUGACGUCAAAUCAUCAUGCCCCUUAUGACCUGGGCUACACACGUGCUACAAUGGAUGGUACAAAGGGCUGCAAGACUGCGAAGUCAAGCCAAUCCCAUAAAACCAUUCUCAGUUCGGAUUGCAGGCUG